CCCUUGAUCCCCGCUGCACGUUGACUUCCACCCAGAAUUGGAUUCAGUUUUCAGUUGAAUUCAGUUCAGUUUCAGUCUGAGUUUGAGUCGCGCUGAAGCAUGCUGCGUUUCUCGUGUGCUGCAGACAGUUCCGACGGCCUUCAAUUGCCAAAGGAAAGACGUACUCAUUGGAUAACGAAGAAGUUCAGCAGUUGACCAAAGAGUUUUGGCUGCUAUCUCUACGAGGGAAACUCGGAACGAGACCAGACAUGAACGGGUGUGGUGUGCAUCGUUCAUGCAAUCAAGGAAGUGCCUCUCCCAUACAAAUUGCCUCUCUCUCUCUCUCUCUCUCUCUCUCACUCUCCCUCUUCAGCAAUGAUGAGAGUCUGCUUUGUGUACGCGCAGCACGCGCCAACUUCCUAUAGCGAUCAAUCGAUUAAAUCGAGCAAUUCAGGUUCAAUGAUGAUUUGAUGAUUGUUCGUCCUCAUAAUACCUUCAUGGGCUAAACUUCUAGUUGUUUCGAGAAUAUACUUAUGCGACGUUUUCCAUCUAUAAUGGC
rnacentral:lncRNA from 1 species